rnacentral:rRNA from 1 species
UGGGGAAUAUUGCACAAUGGGGGAAACCCUGAUGCAGCAACGCCGCGUGAGUGAAGAAGUAUUUCGGUAUGUAAAGCUCUAUCAGCAGGGAAGAAAAUGACGGUACCUGACUAAGAAGCACCGGCUAAAUACGUGCCAGCAGCCGCGGUAAUACGUAUGGUGCAAGCGUUAUCCGGAUUUACUGGGUGUAAAGGGAGCGCAGGCGGUCUGGCAAGUCUGAUGUGAAAGCCCGGGGCUCAACUCCGGGAUUGCAUUGGAAACUGUCAGACUAGAGUGUCGGAGAGGUAAGUGGAAUUCCUAGUGUAGCGGUGAAAUGCGUAGAUAUUAGGAGGAACACCAGUGGCGAAGGCGGCUUACUGGACGAUAACUGACGCUGAGGCUCGAAAGCGUGGGGAGCAAACAGGAUUAGAUACCCUGGUAGU